ACGAACGCUGGCGGCAUGCCUAACACAUGCAAGUCGAACGAGACCUUCGGGGCUAGUGGCGCGCGGGUGCGUGACGCGUGGGAACCUGCCCUUAGGUUCGGAAUAACUCCCCGAAAGGGGUGCUAAUACCGGAUAAUGUCUUCGGACCAAAGAUUUAUCGCCUUUGGAUGGGCCCGCGUUGGAUUAGCUAGUUGGUAGGGUAAAAGCCUACCAAGGCGACGAUCCAUAGCUGGUCUGAGAGGAUGAUCAUCCACACUGGGACUGAGACACGGCCCAGACUCCUACGGGAGGCAGCAGUGGGGAAUAUUGGACAAUGGGCGAAAGCCUGAUCCAGCAAUGCCGCGUGAGUGAUGAAGGCCUUAGGGUUGUAAAGCUCUUUUACCCGGGAUGAUAAUGACAGUACCGGGAGAAUAAGCACCGGCUAACUCCGUG
rnacentral:rRNA from 1 species